ACGCGUKGGUUCKCACUGUCAUUCAGCUGUGCGUGCGGGUGGGAGCUUAGUGUUUCGACCUUCGCUUUUGCACACGUACGUUCAGCGCAUUUGACAGUGCGACGAUCUGCUUGGCUUUGUCCUGGCCACAGCCACAGGGAAGUACGUGUCAAUUUCGAUUGCACACAUGUCUCGAGUAGACUUAUACAGUAAAAUGGAGAAAAUUGCGCGUGGAUUGUCGCUCAGGCGACUGUUGGUUGGGACGGAGUUUGGCAAACUCCUGUUUGCGUUGUACGCUAAUGGCCGCAUGCGAGUGGGGACGAAAGUUUCUGUUCGUCAUGCGGUUUCAUGGACGAUGUGAAUGUUGAAAGCAGAUUCGGAUGUGGCAUCAUUCGAACCGUCUUGAAACACGGGCUAAGGAGUUCAACAAAUGCGCGAGUUCACUGGUUUUGCGAAACCAGAUGGCUAAGUUAACGCGAAUUUGUGAAUAAUGGUAAAAACUCGUCGUUGCUUCGCAAUGUCGAGGUCAUUGCCUAAGAUGGAUGACAUACUAGUACCGGUUGUCGUUCGCAGUUGAGCGCAUAUGCUGAGACCCGAAAGAUGGUGAACUAUGCCUGAGUAGGAUGAAGCCGGAGGAAACUCUGGUGGAGGUCCGAAGCGUUUUUGACGUGCAAAUCAAUCGUCAGACUUGGGU
rnacentral:rRNA from 1 species